rnacentral:rRNA from 1 species
CAGUAGCCGCGGUAAUACGUAGGGUGCGAGCGUUAAUCGGAAUUACUGGGCGUAAAGCGUGCGCAGGCGGUUCGUUAAGACAGAUGUGAAAUCCCCGGGCUUAACCUGGGAACUGCAUUUGUGACUGACGGGCUAGAGUAUGGCAGAGGGGGGUAGAAUUCCACGUGUAGCAGUGAAAUGCGUAGAGAUGUGGAGGAAUACCGAUGGCGAAGGCAGCCCCCUGGGCCAAUACUGACGCUCAUGCACGAAAGCGUGGGGAGCAAACAGGAUUAGAUACCCGCGUAGUCCCUGUCUCUUAUAA